UAGGCAUAAAUAGGUCCAUGAAAUGGAUUUUGCAGGUCAUGUUCCCCAGAGAACAGAUUAAAGAAACAAAUCCUAUACCCCUGAAGUUACAGUGGGAUAGAUUGAAGUCAUUAAAGUAGAUCUUGUCUUCAUGUAUUGGCGUGAAGUAGAUCGAAGAUAUCAGAUCCUAUCUUCCUAUAUUGGUAGGAAGUGGAUCGAAGAUGCAGAUCUUGUCUUCCCAUAUUGGUGGCGAAGUAGAUCGAAGAAAGCAG
rnacentral:lncRNA from 1 species